UGCUGGAAUGAAUGGUUGGACGAGAUAUAAACUGUUUCAAUUUUAUUUAUAAUAGAAUUUUAUUUUUUAGUUAAAAAGCUAAAAUUUUUUUAAAAGACGAGAAGACCCUAUAAAUCUUUAUAAUUUGUUUAUUUUUAUUUUUAGGAUGUGUUUUGUAUUAAUGAAUUAAUUUAUUUUAUUGGGGUGAUAUUAAAAUUUAUAAAACUUUUAAUUAUUUUGAUCAUAAAUUAAUGAUUUAUUGAUCCGUUAUUUACGAUUAUAAGAUUAAGUUACUUUAGGGAUAACAGCGUAAUUUUUUUGGAGAGUUCAUAUCGAUAAAAAAGAUUGCGACCUCGAUGUUGGAUUAAGAUAUAAUUUUGGGUGCAGCUAUUCAAAUUUUAAGUCUGUUCGACUUUUAAAUUCUUACAUGAUCUGAGUUCAAACCGGCGUGAGCCAGGUUGGUUUCUAUCUUUAAAAUAUUAGAAUAUUUUAGUACGAAAGGAUUGAAUAUUUGAAUAAAUUUAUUUUAUAAUGAGAAUAUUAUUAAUUACUGUCUU
rnacentral:rRNA from 1 species